AUACUUACCUGGCAGGGGAGAUACCAUGAUCGUGAAGGUGGUUUUCCCAGGGCGAGGCUCAUCCAUUGCACUCCGGAUGUGCUGACCCCUGCGAUUUCCCCAAAUGUGGGAAACUCGACUGCAUAAUGUGUGGUAGUGGGGUA
rnacentral:snRNA from 1 species